UACGUAGGGGGCAAGCGUUGUCCGGAAUUAUUGGGCGUAAAGAGCUCGUAGGCGGUCUGUUGCGUCGGCUGUGAAAACCCGGGGCUCAACUCCGGGCCUGCAGCCGAUACGGGCAGACUAGAGUUCGGCAGGGGAGACUGGAAUUCCUGGUGUAGCGGUGAAAUGCGCAGAUAUCAGGAGGAACACCGGUGGCGAAGGCGGGUCUCUGGGCCGAUACUGACGCUGAGGAGCGAAAGCGUGGGGAGCGAACAGG
rnacentral:rRNA from 1 species